rnacentral:rRNA from 1 species
AAAACUUACCAGGUCAAGACAUGGGCGUGAUUGACAGGCUAAUGACUUUUCUCGAUUCCAUGGAUGGUGGUGCAUGGUCGCACUUAGUUGGUGCAGUGAUUUGUCAGGUUUAUUCCGGUAACGAACGAGACCUCGGCCUUGUAAAUAGCUAUGCUGCUUACAGGGACAUUGGCGGCUACGCCAAGGAAGCUCGAGGCAAUUGCAGAUCUGGAAUGCCCUUAGAUGUCCUGGGUCGCACGCGUGCUACAAUGACGCCACGAACGAGCUUGCGUGAUGAAAGUUACGCAUAAUCGGCAGUCGGCGUCUUAAGGGAUAGUCUCUUGUAACUGUGGGACUCCAACUAGGAAUGUCUCGUAAGCACAAGUCAACAUCUUGUGUUGAUUACGUCCCUGCUCUUUGUACACACCGCCCGUCGCUCCUACCGAUCGAGUGUUUAGGUGAAUUUGAUGGACGUAAGGAAGUCAAAUAAACCUGAGCACUAGAGAAGAGAAGUCGAGAUC